rnacentral:rRNA from 1 species
UGGGGAAUAUUGCACAAUGGGGGAAACCCUGAUGCAGCCACGCCGCGUGAGCGAUGAAGGCUUUCGAGUCGUAAAGCUCUGUCCUAUGGGAAGAUAAUGACGGUACCAUAGAAGAAAGCCCCGGCUAAUUACGUGCCAGCAGCCGCGGUAAUACGUAAGGGGCGAGCGUUGUCCGGAAUUAUUGGGCGUAAAGAGUGCGUAGGCGGCAAAUUAAGUCAGAUGUGAAAACAAAGGGCUCAACCCAUAGAUUGCAUCUGAAACUGAUAUGCUGGAGUCAAGGAGAGGAAAGUGGAAUUCCUAGUGUAGCGUUGGAAGGCGUAGAUAGUAGGGGGAAUACCGGUGGCGAGGGCGACUUUCUGGACGUGAACUGACGCUGGGGCACGAAAGCGUGGGGAGCAAACAGG